rnacentral:rRNA from 1 species
AUGGCGGAGGAACCGUCCGCCAAGCGUCAUCAUGGCGAGCCGUCGGACAAGAGCAGCAACCUCGUCGACGUUCACGUCCCCGGUGAGAAGCGCGAGUACACGAGAACCCUCACAGGGGUUGAGCUUCACGACAAAGAGAUGUUGGAGAUUGUCUGCACCAGCGAACCAGAUAAGGCCGACGAGGUGAUGAUCAAUAUGUGUCUCCCCCCUUGCAGGCCCAAGCGCCUCAAACAGUUCUUGCAGGAGGAGAAAUUGUACACAUUUGUCGGUUUCAGCAUUGGAGGUGACAAGCGGAUGCUAGAAAAGUCUGGUUUGGAGAUCAACCCCAACAAC